rnacentral:lncRNA from 1 species
CCCGCUUGCCAGCCCCCAGGACACGGGCUGGCAGCCCAGAGCGAGCUGUGUGAGGGACAGGGGGAGGGCAGCCCCGGGGGGGAUCAGGAGCCAAGUGAAGGGGAUGAGGAAAUAGAAGAUAUUGAGAUAGUUGUUGUAUAGAUAGUUAGUGGGUAGCAAGAUAGUUGAUGCUGGGGUAGAUAGCUGAUAGCAAGACAGCUGAUAGAGAACUGAUAGUGAGAUAGACAGCUGAUAGUGAUACAGGUAGUGGAUGGAUAAUGGAUAGCAAGAUGGGUCUUUAAUAGAGAGUUUUUUGUAGAUAGCAAGAUCCUUAGUUGCUAGUGAGAUAGAUAGUUAUGUCAUAGCCAGAUAGCAGAUGGGGAGAUAGGGGAUGAAAACAGAGUUGGUAGUGAGAUAGUUGGUAGAGAGUGUAGAUAACACUAUAGAAACUGGACAGUGAUGUAGAAAGUUGACAUCUUUUGUCUCUGCUGCAGACGAGCUGCCUGAGUCCUGGGACCCCACUCUCCCCUCCAGCGUGUGAUGAUGAGCGGUGCCUGAUGCUGCCCCAGUGCCGGCAGAAGAACAGCAGAUGUGGAAACACCUGUCCUGCCAGAAGAGCAUCACGGAGAAGAAGAUGCGCCUCCUGCUCAGAGGAAGAUGCGCUGCUCGAGUCCUUGGAUGUCCCUUUGCCUCCUCCUCCAGAGUUCGAGGCAGGAACAACGCCUGGUGCUGCCCCAGCGCCAGCAGAAGAACAGCGGCUCCUGGACGGACGUGACCGGCCGGAAGAUCGUCGGGGAGAAGAGGAUGCGCCUUGUGCUCAGAGCGAGUUACUCUUCUCCCUCAACCUCAGCAUCAAUGACGCCCGCCUGCCCCAAGUCAACAAAGGAAGGACUGGGCAGAAGACGAGAGCCCCGGCUGGUGCUGCCGGUCUGAAGUGAGAGGAGGGAGAAGAGACUGGCCCAGCAGAAGACAGAUAGGGAGCACAGGGGCACAGUUAACAACAAAAUGUCUGUUAGUCAGUACUCUUAACUGUAAAAGAGUUCUGUAAAUAAAUUGUUCGAUAUUGUUCA